rnacentral:lncRNA from 1 species
ACACGCCCGGGAAGCGGCCGCCGCGGAGCCGGCGUCCGCAGCGGCUGCGCAUCUCGGGCCUGCAGCGGGGCGCUUGGCGGGCGGGGGCCGGGGGAGAGCCUGUUUGCGCAGUACCCCCGGAGGGCGGAAGGCCGCCGAGAGAAACAGCAAGUGACAGAGCAGAGGAACGGCUGGCCCAGCCAAUCCUGGAGCUGCUGUUGCAGCACUUGUUCCCCAAACAAGUGCUCCUACAUUCUGAUGACUCAGUGUAUCGGGAGCCGGGAGAUGGAGCUCUCAGCAGAGUGGCCAGGAUGUUCUGUCAACAUGAAAGCUACAAAAACAGCUCGGGGCUCUGAGCUGAUCCUUAGCCUGGGGUCAUUUUCAGGGAGGGCUGGACAGAGAAGGCGGCCACCGCCCGGGCAUCAGGAUGGGAGCGACACCAGAGGACUCAGGAGAGUGCAGCUUGCUCUGUGAGUGGGUGACAACCUCUUGGCGACUCAGGCUCAGCUGAGGAUGGUGCCAGUGUGCCGGAGACAGCCGUCAUACUGCCGGAUAGAGUGGCUCACUUGCAUGUAUUUGGAACAAAAAAAGGAGAUGCCUGGCAGCCCCGCUCUCUGCAGU